rnacentral:rRNA from 1 species
GACGAACGCUGGCGGCGUGCUUAACACAUGCAAGUCGAACGGAAAGGCCCUGCGUUUGUGGGGUGCUCGAGUGGCGAACGGGUGAGUAACACGUGAGUAACCUGCCCUUGACUUUGGGAUAACUUCAGGAAACUGGGGCUAAUACCGGAUAGGAGCUCCUGCUGCAUGGUGGGGGUUGGAAAGUUUCGGCGGUUGGGGAUGGACUCGCGGCUUAUCAGCUUGUUGGUGGGGUAGUGGCUUACCAAGGCAUUGACGGGUAGCCGGCCUGAGAGGGUGACCGGCCACAUUGGGACUGAGGUACGGCCCAGACUCCUACGGGAGGCAGCAGUGGGGAAUAUUGCACAAUGGGCGGAAGCCUGAUGCAGCAACGCCGCGUGCGGGAUGACGGCCUUCGGGUUGUAAACCGCUUUCGCCUGUGACGAAGCGUGAGUGACGGUAAUGGGUAAAGAAGCACCGGCUAACUACGUG